rnacentral:rRNA from 1 species
CGUAGGGGGCAAGCGUUGUCCGGAUUUAUUGGGCGUAAAGAGCGUGUAGGCGGCCAUACAGGUCAGCUGUGAAAACUCGAGGCUCAACCUCGAGACGUCGGUUGAAACCGUUUGGCUAGAGUCCGGAAGAGGAGAGUGGAAUUCCCGGUGUAGCGGUGAAAUGCGCAGAUAUCGGGAAGAACACCCGUGGCGAAGGCGGCUCUCUGGGACGGUACUGACGCUGAGACGCGAAAGCGUGGGGAGCGAACAGG